rnacentral:rRNA from 1 species
UACAGGGGGGACUAGUAUUAUUCGGAGUAAUUGGGCGUAAAGGGCAUGUAGGCGGUUUAUUUUGUUGAAAGUGAAAUUCCAAAAUAGUUAUUUUGGAAAAGAUUUCAAGACGAAUAGACUUGAGUUCGAUAUAGGAUAGUAGAAUUUCUAGUGUAGAGAUAAAAUUCGUAAAUAUUAGAAGGAAGACCAUUUGGCGAAAGCAACUAUCUGGCUCGAUUUUACUGACGCUGAAAUGCUAAAGCAUGGGUAGCAAACGGG